rnacentral:ncRNA from 1 species
UCUUAUCAAGAGCGGCGGAGGGACUAGGCCCUGCGAUGCCCGGCAACCGGCAAGCUUACCAGCUUGCAAAGGUGCUACUUCCUACAGAUCCAUUUUGGAUCUGAAAGAUAAGG